GUGGACUUAUUUGUUCUGUGUGGGCAACACAAGAUUGUAAACGUCAAUAGUAUCUGUUGGGUUGUGUCGCAAUGUGGACGUACGCAGGAGUAUUUCUCCUGGCGACAUGCGCCUGCGCUAUCACGCGAGACCAAUUCUACACUUACGGGUCUGGACUGGACCAGAGAUUGCCCAGAGGAAACCAAGUGUCGUCUCCAGAGAUACCCUUGAAAGUGCCCAUUGUUUUCUAUGGAGAAACAUACGAGACAGUUUUCGUAAACAACUUCGGUAUAAUUUCCUUCAGAGCUGAUAUUCCAUCGUUUCUAAAUGCAGAAUUCCCACUGCCAUAUCCGUCCAUAGCGGCAUUCUACACUAACGUAGACACUUCAGAAUCGGGCGCGGUAUAUUAUAGAGAAACAGAUGAAUCUCAUGUACUAUCCAAAGCGGAAGAAAGCGUACAAGACAAUUUCCACGACUAUUACGACUUCAAACCUACCAGCGUUUUCAUUGCCACUUGGCUCGAUGUUACUUUCAAGAGUACGGAUAUACAAAAACAGACGAACAGCUUCCAAAUAGCUGUGAUCAGCAAUGGUACGGAAAGUUUCGUGGAACUAUUGUACCCUGAUCGGGAAAUACAGUGGAUACAAAGAGAACCCGAAGAGUUGAGCCUGCCAGAUGCUAAAGCGCAAGUAGGUUUCGUUUCUGAAGAUGGACGCGUUUAUACAAUCAGAAAUUCUGGGAGUGAUCAAGUUCGCAAUGUAGUCGCAUGGUCAAACACCCAACAGCCUGGAAAAUACGUCUUUCGUGUUGGAAAUAUACCACUUGAGGGCGAAAUCGCAAUUCCAGAUCAAUACAACCAAACUGAUUUCGAUUUCGAGGAAGAAUCUAAAACUUGUGCUCAGAGUGGACCGAGCCUAUGUCACACGCGAGCCCGAUGUGUCGACUAUGAAGCCGGCAUCUGCUGUCAAUGCAAUGAAGGAUUUUAUGGUAAUGGAAAAUCAUGCGUUAAAGAUGACGUGCCCCUUAGAGUACAUGGGAAAUUGAACGGUCGCAUAAACGGUGUGAACCUGGAAGAUGUUGACAUACAGGCUUACGUAGUGGUCUCUGAUGGCAGAUCCUAUACUGCAUUGACCCAAGUACCACCAAUUAUUGGAAAUACUCUACUGUUCUUAACUGUUUUAGAUACUACGAUCGGUUGGCUAUUCGCUAAAACUAUCGGAGGCGCUAAAAAUGGUUACCAAUUGACAGGAUCAUUAUUUAAUCACACUGCUAAUAUUUAUUUCCCUGGAACAAAUAAUUUGGUUACAAUUAAUCAAGAAUACUUGGGUCAUGAUGUAUUUGAUCAGAUCACAAUCAGAGUAUUUGUUGAAGGAACGCUACCUCCUCUCUUAAACGAUACGAAACUGGAUAUAUCUGAAUUCCAAGAACAAUAUACGAUUGACGAACCUGGUCUCGUUCACUCGCAGUCGACUCGAAAAUUCAAAGAUAGACGUACAUCUCAGGAAUACGAGCAAACAGUGUCCCAAAGUUUUACAUACAGUCCUUGUCGUUUUGCGCCCUUUAGCCAGGAAGACAAAAAGCAGACCACACUGAUAAUCACGAAGAAUUAUCUGGGUUAUGAGAUCGCCGAAAAUAUAGUUAGAUACGGGACGAGUAAUAAAGUAACACCCAUAGGACUAGAAAAUCCAUGUACAGGGGGACAAAAUACUUGCGGUCCGCAUAGCACUUGUGUGGUACAAGACGACACGUUCACUUGUGAAUGUCAAUCAGGUUACUCAGACAUCUACAUCGAGGAUACCAUUGCGUGCAUUGAUAUUGAUGAAUGUGCUGCUGGAUCUCACAACUGUGACGUAAAUGCAGACUGUUUAAACGAGGAUGGAGGAUUUCAAUGUGAGUGCCGAAAUGGCUUCGAAGGCGACGGUUUCAGUUGUCAGGCGCCAUCGCCGUGCAAAGAUAAGAACUGUAAUGCUAAUGCUCAGUGUACAUUAAACUAUUUAGGAGAUCCUACAUGUGUUUGUAACGCUGGUUACACCGGUAACGGUAUACAGUGUUGGCCAGUGAUCCCAUGUAACAACGCGUGCUCCCCUGACGCUUCUUGUGUUAUAUCGGAAAACACGAGGAGUUAUGAAUGUAGAUGUCACGCAGGAUAUUCUGGCGACGGUUAUUAUUGCACUGAAGAUCAACGUACGACAACACCUACAAUAUAUACAGAGACUGAAUCACUUUACAAUGAGACUUUUGUGCUUCCUCACUGCGAUUCCAUCAGCUGCGUAUGCCCAACGGGUUACACAAGAUUCCGCGAGUUUAAUAACGAACUGUGUCGGAUUGACAGUUAUGUACCAGCUACAGAAAAAUCAGAUGGAUACGAUUCCUCACUUAGAUGCUCACAUGACGGCGACUGCCCUCCAAACGCGAUUUGUACUUCCCCCAGCAACGACUCAUCAGAAGAGUCACGACACUGUGUAUGCCCUGAAGGAUACGAGGGAGACGCUUACGAAUGUAUCGAGCGAACAGGAUACACGUGUAGAUGUGGACCGUACUCCCACUGUGUGGCCACGCCGAACGGACAGUACUUGUGUAUGUGUAACAGCGGCUACCGCGGUGAUGGUUACGAAUGCAGUCCAAUCUUCACCUGUACCAACGACUCCGACUGCGAAUACAAUGCAGGGUGCACCUUCGAUGUCAACAGUAAUGCAUACAUUUGUCAAUGCAUCGAGGGCUACGUUAAGGAUCAAAACGACGCUUGCAUACCCGGACAGUUAUGUAACGGAGCGCAAUGCGUGCAGUACGCAACGUGCCUGUACGAUGCGGAGAUCGAUGUCCAUUACUGCCAUUGUGACGACGGAUACGAUGGUGACGGUGUGACUCAAUGUUCACCAGCUCAAAGAUUCGAGACAUGCAAUGAACUCAACGAUUGCAGCAUUGACGCUAUAUGCACUCCAGUCGAAAGUACAUAUCAAUGCCAAUGCAGAGAAGGUUAUAUAGGAGAUGGAUAUACUUGCACCCUGGAGGAGAACUGUAGAACAAUUCCGAAUUGGUGCGACAGUCACGCGUCGUGUCUGAAGCGAGGAGAUGCAUACGAAUGCGUAUGCAACUCAGGAUACAAUGGAAAUGGAAGUGUUUGCCAACUGAACCCAAGACAAAAUGGCAACUUCUUAGUAGUGAGCGAUGGCGCCUCGGUAUAUCGCGUACCAUUCCAUACGAACACCAGACAAUAUCCGACCCCAAUAAAUAGUGCUAUCUACCAAACAGCGGUCGGAGUAGACGUAGACUGUGAAAGAGGAACCAUAUAUUGGGGUGAUGUUAUUGGCAACAGCAUAAAAAGUGCAGCCUACGAUGGUUCCGGAUUCAAUUAUUUCCUACCAAAUGAUGUUAAAGCACCCGAAGGUAUAUCAGUAGAUUGGACAGCGAGAAAUAUAUUUUGGACUGACUCAAAGAAAUAUACCAUUGAAGUUGCUAACAUUGAUACGAAGGUCAGAAAAGUGUUAUUCUCUGGGAACGGUAUCACUAAUCCUAGAGGUAUCGCCGUACACCCGGAGAAAGGCAAAGUGUUUUGGUCUGAUUGGAACCGCUUGGGCGCUAAAAUCGAGUGGGCAAACAUGGACGGUUCACAACGAGGCGUGUUCCUCGACCAGAGUGAUGUAAAACUGCCCAAUUCCUUGGCCAUCGACUGGUCGAGAGAUCGGUUGUGCUACGCUGAUGCCGGUCUUUCGGCUAUCAAGUGCGUGGGGAUCGAUACGUUGGAAAGAGUAACAAUUGCUACAAACUGCACGUAUCCCUUCGGACUGGCCAUAAGUGGAAAUAAAUUCUAUUGGACAGAUUGGAGAACUUUACAGAUAGAAUACAUAGACAUUACAACCCAAAUCAAGGGGCGGGUUGAAACAUCGAAGCCGACGAGGUUGUACGGCCUGGCGGUGGCUCCUGACGCCUGUCCACCAGGUUCCAACGUGUGCCAGUACAGGAACGGGCAGUGUCUGCCAAAUGAACUAUGCCUGCCUAAUGGACAAGGCAGCAGAACGUGUGUCACGGGAGAUGGGUUUUAUGAGGAGAAUCAAAUCAUUUAGACGUAAAUAUUUUUAUUUUAACGCCACGUUUUGGUGGCAUUCGUUGAAAUGAACGCAACUGUAAACCGUCACAGAUUAUAUAUAAUACAUUCACAGAUUAUAUAUACAUUAAAAAACGAGACAUUUACCACAAUAUUAUUAAAGAUCCCGAUAAUAUAUGAAAAGUAUAUAAUAAAAUACCGAGCGAUUUAAAAUAUAUGCUUUUUCAAAAGGCAAUUUCAAAACAAAUUUAAACAUUAUUUAUUGAAGUAAUGCUACUACUCGAUUAAUGAGACUUGAAAUGAAUGACAAAUCGAUGACAAUUUAAUAUUACCACAGAUAAGAUGAUAUUAGUACAUUACCAACAACAAUAUAAUAUAUGAUUAAUACUGUAGCUAGAUUUGGUAAUUAUUAUUAUUCAUCUAAACCAGAGGUUCCCAAACUUUGUGUCGUAGACCCCUUGCCAUAUUUUUCGGUUUUGGGUAGACCCCCAUUCUUACAUGGUAAUGAAUUUUUGUAAAUUUCUAACUGUAGUAAAUUUAGUGUUAAAAACAUAAAGUAAAAACAA